GCCCCCGUAGCGCAAUGGUAGCGCGUAAGACUGUACGUUAACAUCAAUGUCUUCACCUUCAAAACCCAUCAACUAAUAAAUAAACAGUCUAGCUUCCAAGCUAUCUUAAGGUUGCGAGUUCGAGCCUCGCCGGGGGCU
rfam:Aspergillus parasiticus ST-1 367, whole genome shotgun sequence.